GGUACGGGGGGGGCAAGCGUUGUUCGGAAUUACUGGGCGUAAAGGGCUCGUAGGCGGCCAACUAAGUCAGACGUGAAAUCCCCAGGCUUAACUUGGGAACUGCGUCUGAUACUGGAAGGCUUGAGUGCGGGAGAGGGAUGUGGAAUUCCAGGUGUAGCGGUAGAAAUGCGUAGAUAUCUGGAGGAAUACCGGUGGCGAAGGCGGCAUCCUGGACCGACAUUGACGCUGAUGAGCGAAAAGCUGAGGGGAGCAAACGGGG
rnacentral:rRNA from 1 species